AGUGAACGCUGGCGGUAGGCCUAACACAUGCAAGUCGAACGGCAGCACAGAGGAGCUUGCUCCUUGGGUGGCGAGUGGCGGACGGGUGAGGAAUACAUCGGAAUCUACUCUGUCGUGGGGGAUAACGUAGGGAAACUUACGCUAAUACCGCAUACGACCUACGGGUGAAAGCAGGGGAUCUUCGGACCUUGCGCGAUUGAAUGAGCCGAUGUCGGAUUAGCUAGUUGGCGGGGUAAAGGCCCACCAAGGCGACGAUCCGUAGCUGGUCUGAGAGGAUGAUCAGCCAACCUGGAACUGAGACACGGUCCAGAAUCCUACGGGAGGCAGCAGUGGGGAAUAUUGGACAAUGGGCGCAAGCCUGAUCCAGCCAUACCGCGUGGGUGAAGAAGGCCUUCGGGUUGUAAAGCCCUUUUGUUGGGAAAGAAAUCCAUCUGGUUAAUACCCGGGUGGGAUGACGGUACCCAAAGAAUAAGCACCGGCUAACUUCGUGCCAGCCGCCGCCGUAA
rnacentral:rRNA from 1 species